rnacentral:ncRNA from 1 species
GAGCCUUGGUAUGGAAACCUACCAAGUGAGAACUUUCAAAUUCAGAGAAACCCUGGAAUUAAAAAUGGGCAAUCCUGAGCCAAAUCCUGUUUUACGAAAAUAAACAAAAGUUCGGAAAGAAAGAAUAAUAAUAAAAAAACAAAAAAGGAUAGGUGCAGAGACUCAAUGGAAGCUGUUCUAACAAAUGGGGUUUGACUACCUUUGCGUUAGUAAAGGAAUCCUUCUAUCGAAACUACAGAAAGGAUGGCCUAUACACAUACCUAAAGGUAAUAAAAAACUAUCUCUAAAAAAAAAAAAAGACGACCCAACCCCGUAUUUAUUUAGAUUUUUAUGAAAAAUCUAAAUAAAUUUUUGUGGAUUAGUAUUGAUUCUAAGUUGAAGAAGGAAUCGAAUACAACAUUCAUUAAUAAAAGAAUUCACCCCAUAGUUUGAUAAAUCUUUUGAAAAACUGGUUAAUCGGACGAGAAUAAAGAUAGAGUCCCGUUCUACAUGUCAAUAUCAAUACUGACAACAAUGAAAUUUAUAGUAAGAGGAAAAUCCGUCGACUUUUAAAAUCGUGAGGGUUCAAGUCCCUUGUCCCUCUAUCCCCA